rnacentral:rRNA from 1 species
GACGAACGCUGGCGGCGUGCUUAACACAUGCAAGUCGAACGGAAAGGCCCUGCGUUUGUGUGGUUCUCGAUUGGCGAACGGGUGAGUAACACGUGAGUAACCUGCCCUUGACUUUGGGAUAACUUCAGGGAACUGGGGCUAAUACCGGGUAUGAGCUCCUGCUGCAUAUUGGGGGUUGGUAAGUGUCGGCGGUUGGGGAUGGACUCGCGGCUUAUCAGCUGGUAGGUGGGGUAGGGGCUGACCAGGGCUUUGAGGGGUAGCCGGCCUGAGAGGGUGACCGGCCACAUUGGGACUGAGAUACGGAGCAGAAUGGUACGGGAGGCAGUAGUCGGGAAUAUUGCACAAUGGGCGGAAGCCUGAUGCAGCAACGCUGCGUGCGGGAUGACGGGCUACGGGUUGUAAACAGAUUUCGACUGUGAUGAAGCGUGAGUGACGGUACUGGGUCAAGAAGCACCGGCUAACUACGUG